GCUAUACAUGCAGUCGAGCGACAGAUAAGGAGCUUGCUCCUUUGACGUUAGCGGCGGACGGGUGAGUAACACGUGGGUAACCUACCUAUAAGACUGGAAUAACUCCGGGAAACCGGGGCUAAUGCCGGAUAACAUAUAGAACCGCAUGGUUCUAUAGUGAAAGAUGGUUUUGCUAUCACUUAUAGAUGGACCCGCGCCGUAUUAGCUAGUUGGUAAGGUAAUGGCUUACCAAGGCGACGAUACGUAGCCGACCUGAGAGGGUGAUCGGCCACACUGGAACUGAGACACGGUCCAGACUCCUACGGGAGGCAGCAGUAGGGAAUCUUCCGCAAUGGGCGAAAGCCUGACGGAGCAACGCCGCGUGAGUGAUGAAGGGUUUCGGCUCGUAAAACUCUGUUAUUAGGGAAGAACAUAUGUGUAAGUAACUGUGCACAUCUUGACGGUACCUAAUCAGAAAGCCACGGCUAACUACGUGCCAGCAGCCGCGGUAAUACGUAGGUGGCAAGCGUUAUCCGGAAUUAUUGGGCGUAAAGCGCGCGUAGGCGGUUUCUUAAGUCUGAUGUGAAAGCCCACGGCUCAACCGUGGAGGGUCAUUGGAAACUGGGAAACUUGAGUGCAGAAGAGGAAAGUGGAAUUCCAUGUGUAGCGKUGAAAAUGCGCAKAGAUAUGGAGGAACACCAGUGGCGAASGCGACUUUCUGGGUCUGKAACUGACGCUGAUGUGCGAAAGCGUGGGGAUCAAACAGGAUUAGAUACCCUGGUAGUCCACGCCGUAAACGAUGAGUGCUAAGUGUUAGGGGGUUUCCGCCCCUUAGUGCUGCAGCUAACGCAUUAAGCACUCCGCCUGGGGAGUACGACCGCAAGGUUGAAACUCAAAGGAAUUGACGGGGACCCGCACAAGCGGUGGAGCAUGUGGUUUAAUUCGAAGCAACGCGAAGAACCUUACCAAAUCUUGACAUCCUUUGACCACUCUAGAGAUAGAGCUUUCCCCUUCGGGGGACAAAGUGACAGGUGGUGCAUGGUUGUCGUCAGCUCGUGUCGUGAGAUGUUGGGUUAAGUCCCGCAACGAGCGCAACCCUUAAGCUUAGUUGCCAUCAUUAAGUUGGGCACUCUAGGUUGACUGCCGGUGACAAACCGGAGGAAGGUGGGGAUGACGUCAAAUCAUCAUGCCCCUUAUGAUUUGGGCUACACACGUGCUACAAUGGACAAUACAAAGGGCAGCUAAACCGCGAGGUCAUGCAAAUCCCAUAAAGUUGUUCUCAGUUCGGAUUGUAGUCUGCAACUCGACUACAUGAAGCUGGAAUCGCUAGUAAUCGUAGAUCAGCAUGCUACGGUGAAUACGUUCCCGGGUCUUGUACACACCGCCCGUCACACCACGAGAGUUUGUAACACCCGAAGCCGGUGUGAGUAACCAUUUAUGGAGCUAGUCCGUCGAGAGUG
rnacentral:rRNA from 1 species